rnacentral:rRNA from 1 species
CACACCGCCCGUCACACCACGAAAGCCCGUUGUACCAGAAGUCGCUGGAGCCAACCCGCAAGGGAGGCAAGCGCCCAAGGUAUGGCUGGUGAUUGGGGUG